UACAACAUGUGUAUCCAUUGCCACUUUUUUACACAAUAGUGGCUCACAAGAACUUCUAAUUUCCACACAAAUAUGAUUUACAAAGGAUUCGCCAACUGAUUGAAGUAUUUUCAGCUUCAUUUGGUCAAUUGUAUUGGAACUUUAGAGGCAUUUAGUGGUGUAAUCCUAUGUGUUGUUCACAAUUACAUAAUAAGAUAAAAUGAUUUCUUCCAAGAAAAGUAAAAGACAUGGAUUUCUUCUUCCCAUAAGAAAUCUUCUUCAACCCUUAUUUAUAGAGUCAGCACCUUAAAACAAAGACCUUCAGCAAAGACAACCUCUUUCCUUCCUAGCUAAGGUCACUGCAUCAUCAUACAAUGGAUACAAGGCUGUUUGAGGCUGCUCGAACAGGAAACAUUGAUUAUUUGCAGCAGUUGCUGGCAGAAAAUCCAUUUAUCCUCAACAACACACAGUUAUCUGCCGAGAAUCCCUUGAACAUUGCUGCUGCUAUGGGGCACGUUGACUUUGUGAAGGAGAUUAUAAGGUUGAAACCAGUUUUUGCCAUAGAAGUGAAUCAAGAAGGCUUUAGUCCUAUGCAUAUAGCUGCAGAUAAUGGCCAGGUUGAGAUUGCGAAGGAGCUAAUGGAAGUCGACAUCAAACUCUGCCGGUUAGAGGGAAGACAGAAAAUGACUCCUUUUCACCAUGCUGCUAUCAGAGGGAGGGCUGAGGUGAUCAGUUUAAUGCUUUCAGGUUGUCCUGAUUGUAUUGAAGAUGAGACUGAACGAAGGGAGAGUGCUUUGCACCUUGCUGUCAGGAAUAACAGAUUUGAAGCAAUAAAGAUGCUGGUGGAUUGGAUCAGAGAAAUGAACAAGGAAUACUUGCUGAACAUGAAGGAUGAGCAAGGGAAUACAGUUUUGCACCUUGCAAGCUGGAAAAAACAACGUCGGGUGAUAGAAAUAUUUCUUGGAAGUGGAUCUGCAAGUACAGGCUCGUUGGAAGUGAAUGCCAUUAACCAUACUGGCAUCACCGCCCUCGACGUGAUACUACUUUUCCCAAGCGAAGCAGGGGAUAGAGAAAUUGUUGAGAUCCUUCGAAGUGCUGGAGCAAUGAGAGCAAGAGAUACUGUCCCCUCUACUGUUACCAACAGCCAAACCUCUACCGACAACCCCUCAACACCAGAGAGAUGCUGGUCAAACCGAGAUAACUUGGUAGAAUACUUCAAGUUUAAGAAGGAUAGGGAUUCACCUAGCGAAGCUCGCGGUACACUACUAGUUAUAGCGGUUUUGGUUGCAACUGCAACGUUCCAAGUUGGAGUCGGCCCUCCAGGAGGUGUUUGGCAAGAUACAAGCAUACCUGAUCAAAAAAAUAUUACCAGCAAUAACACUGCACACUUUGCAGGUCAGUCCAUUAUGGCUACCACAAACACAGUUGGUUUUAUGCUAUUUGUGUUUUUCAACUCAGUUGGAUUUUCCAUGUCUCUUUACAUGCUCUAUGUCCUCACAAGUAAAUUCCCCUUGCAAUUUGAGCUUCAAAUAUGCCUGCUUGCUAUGUAUUGUACUUAUGGCACUGCAUUAUCAUGCAUUGUGCCAUCCAACCUCUACCUAUUUGUUCAGUUAACCACAACAAUAUUGUCAUCAACUAUGUCUGCUUUGGCUCGAUCUGUACGCCCACUUACAAGAAUGCUCAGAAAAUCUUUCAAGGACUUCACUCAUAGAGUUGUCUGAAAGUGGAUGGAUGCAGAGUAGAAGGUGUUGUUCAUAUAUAUCAUCAGAUAAGCUACAGCCUAACCGGGGAGCAGGAGCAGCAUGGAGUAUCAAAGAUAGCUUCCCAGAUUAGUUAUAGGUGUUAAUCUGUUAACCAACUUGCCAUUAUUCCAUGUAUCAUUAGAAUUCUUGGAGCAAAUAGCAGAAGAGUCUCGUGCCGAUACCUUUUCACAAGGCUGAAAUCCACCAGCUUCCAUACUGAGGCUGAUACGGGACCCGUGAUGCAUAAAAGCAAGAGGGAAAAGCUAUGAUGAGAAGAAAAAACGCAUCAAAUUAACACGAUAUGGAAUAAUUAUAACUCUUUACUUUCGAAAUGACAUUUUUCCUGUUUACCGUCAUCCUAAAACAAACAAUAUGAGGUCCAAAUCUCAAUGUCCUUAAUUGAUCGACACAGAGCACAACUUAAAUGGAAAUUGUUAAAA